rnacentral:misc_RNA from 1 species
AGAAAAUGAAGGCAGAAGUUGGAAGUCUCAAGCAAUUGGUGUUCGAGCUUGAGUCAGAGAAAUCAAGAGUCAACAAAGAAUUACUACAGUCUCAGGAACUUCUUAAGCAUUUUGAUCAAGAGAAUUCUUCCUUGGUUUGUUUGGAAAGUCAAUUAUGUGAAAUGCAUGAAUUUUCAAUAGCUGCAGAUAUUAGCCUAGUUUUCA